GAGGACAAUGGGCUGAGGCGCGUUCACGAGUCGACCCCAUGUUUUUAUUUUCUUUCGUCUUUGAACCUAAACACAGAUUCCCGGUCGGAAUAUUAUCGCUUUUUUACAAGAAAAAUGGCAUAAAAAUUGAUUUUAAACAGCGGUUGACAUGCUUCGAAGUACGGUAAUGGAAUAUUUAGAAUUUUUUUGUCACGAAAUGCGUCACCCUUCUUUACCAUUCGGAUAGUGUCUUGAACGCACGAACAAAACAGAGGAUAUUUGAACAUAACUAUGGAUUAUUUUGAACCAAACCAACAUUUGUUAUUGAAGUAGAAGUCCUGGGAGUGCAUCGCAAAUGCAACAAUAAGUGGUUUAGAAGGAAUCAGUGGCUAACUGCUAGCAUUGCAUAGCAGUCACUAGCCUGCUAUUCAAUUUGGGAACCCAGGCCUCUUUCUAGACCUCCGACCUGAAGAUCACUGAUGUCAUCAUGAUUAGACAUUGUUUUUUUCAGAGUUCCCAGUUGUCUUGAAGGCACUAUAAAUCCAGAGAAUGCCAGACUUUGAUGACAAAGAUUGAGGACAAUUUGCCCACGAUGGACCACCACGCCACCUUCCUUUUCAAGUGAGCACUGCACAACAAGAUUUGGGGUCUGACAAAAGGAUCUAUCUUUCAGUUGCAUUCUACAGAAAUAAGACCAUUUCCGGAGACCUUCUCCCCUACCUCACCUCGCUCAUCAACUCAUCCUUGACCGCUGGCUACGUCCCUUCCGUCUUCAAGAGAGCGAGAGUUGCACCCCUUCUGAAAAAACCUACACUCGAUCCCGCCGAUGUCAACAACUACAGACCGAUAUGGAGAUUUGUGAAAUCCCGUCUGCUGAUGAAGAGGUCCCAGUGAAUUUCCCAAGAGACUGCUGGCACAUCCUUCUAUGCCAUGGGUUGAAUGUAUACUUAUGUUAGCAAAUGUUGUAUACAACAAUACAGUUAAAAGUCACACACAAUGUAAGCUAUAAACUUAUUACAACUUUUUCUAUAAUCUAUUUAUGGUCAAAUACUUCAGUUGUAACUGUGGAACUCACUUUUUACAGUUGAAGACAACUUAAGCACUCUUAAAAACUCAUUUGAAUGAGUUUGUUUAUUUCUUACAGUAGCCUAUAGAUCUAAACAUCUCUGGAGGUGCUGCAUGGGCUCAUUUGUUGUCUUACUAUUAAUUACACAGGCUGUAUGACCUAUUUCUUGGUCAACUCAUAUCAAUAUCAGCUUAUUAGUGGUGGGGUAGGCUAAAUAAAAACAGAAUAUGCCUAAUUAAAAGAACAGUAAUGAAGGAAAUUAAAAAAUGCUGGGCAGAGCAUGCAAAGAGCUCAUGUCUGAGCGGUACCGGAGCAAAAUUGGAGCUAGAGAGAAGGCCAACUCUCCAACAUAUUUGCCAUUGACACUUUGUAAUUAUGUGUUGCUCUAUAAAAGAGACCAGGACGGAAUCUAUAAUCUUUGACUUUAUUGAACUACCUGAACAUAAAACCUUUACUACAAAAUGUGCCUGCUUCCGUACCAUGUCUGUUUCACCUUCAUCUGUCACAAAAUGAGCCCAGACCAUGAGUGAAGGGAGGGAGGAAUCCAUGAAUUGAUGGGCUGUGCUAUUUCCUCCUUGGAAGUACCCAUUUCAAAGUGGCAGAGGCUUUCCCCACUACCGUACAGUCCCUGUUUGUGGGCUAAAUGAGUGCUGGUCCACGCCAGCUUUUAAAGCCCAUUAUCCAAAGGGAGAGAAGAGGGAAUACUGCUUCCAACUGCUGUCUCCCAGCCCAGGCUUCUCUCCGGCAAAGCAUGAAGAAUACCUUCCCUGUGGCACAAAAACCCUUCCCUUCUUUAUGAGUCAUUGACAUGCAGAGUUACAUCCACCAUAGAAACCCUUAUUCCCUGCAACAUUAUUAAUUCAGAAAGUCAGUUCCCGACUUUAUUAUUCCUCCAUAAAUCAGGAUUCCAAAACAAUAUGCCAACUAUCGGAGGUGAAAUAUGAUUGAGAUGUAGCGCUGACAGGGUCAUAAGAGUUAUCCAAAUUUGCAUUAAUUAGCACUGUUCGUACCAAAUACUGUGAUUUACUCAAACGAUUGAGUCCACAUGCCUAUCUUUGUAC
rnacentral:lncRNA from 1 species